rnacentral:lncRNA from 1 species
GACCCAACUAUCAAGCUAAGAUAUAUGGAGCUGAGCUAUUUAUGUCCAGUCUAAUGUGCGGCCAAUCUAGCAUGUGAGCUUCCUCCAUAACCUCGAAUAGCCAAUUUUCUAGCACAUGCAGUAGCUGUUCACCCUAAGUGGAUAAGUUCGAACGUAACUAACUCCUCUCAUGGGAACAGAUAUGCCAAAAUAUCUCGCCCACUAACAGCACAUCCAACAGUCCGACAACCUCAAAACCGCAUGUUUCCAUGGUUGUUCAGCCAUAUCCUCUAUAAAUAACUAAAGCUCCGAGGACCCAAAUAAGGAACCCCUUUCAGAGAACGAGUUCCUGCUUCUACUAUUCUC